AACGAACGCUGGCGGCGUGCCUAACACAUGCAAGUCGAACGAGAAUUUUCCCUUCGGGGAAAUAGUAAAGUGGCGCAAGGGUGAGUAACACGUGAAUAAUCUGCCUACGAAUCCGGGAUAACGCGGCGAAAGCUGUGCUAAUACCGGAUAAGACCACGUCUCUUAUGUGAUGUGGCCAAAGGAGUCUCAAACUCCGUUUGUAGAUGAGUUCGCGGACCAUUAGCUUGUUGGAGGGAUAACAGCCCCCCAAGGCUACGAUGGUUAGCCGGCCUGAGAGGGUGAUCGGCCACACUGGAACUGAGACACGGUCCAG
rnacentral:rRNA from 1 species